AUGGAAAAAUGGACUUUCCUGCUUUGCGGGUACGUCAAAAUGGCUGCCUCCGUAUUGAACGUGUUGCUGAGGCGCCUUCCUAACAUUUCGCCCUUCAGAGGUGCCAACAGAGUUCAGGUUCCCCUCCAGACUCUUUGCACCAAAUCCCCCCCUGAGGAUGAUUCUUUGCCCCCAAUUCCUGCUUCCCCUUAUGAGGAUGAACCCUGGAAGUACCUGGACUCAGAAGAAUACCAGAACCGCUAUGGUUCUCGCCCUGUCUGGGCUGACUACCGUCGAAACCAUAAAGGUGGAAUACCCCCACAGUGGACUCGAAAGAUGUGUAUUCGUGGUAAUAAAGUUGCUGGGAACCCCUGCCCCAUCUGCCGGGAUCAGAAGCUGCAUGUUGACUUUAGGAACGUGAAGCUCUUAAAACAGUUUGUCUGUGCCUACACGGGUAUCAUCUUCCAUGCUCCAUAUACAGGGGUCUGUAUGAAGCAACACAAGAAGUUGACCCAGGCUAUCCAGAAAGCCAGGGAUCAUGGUCUCCUCAGUUACCACAUUCCCCAGGUUGAACCCCGAGACCUUGACUUCAGUACCUCUCAUGGAGCUGUGAGUGCUACUCCACCAGCCCCCACUCUGGUUUCUGGUGACCCCUGGUAUCCAUGGUACUGCUGGAAACAGCCACCAGAGAGAGAGCUGUCCCGCCUUCAACAAAAUAAGAGUAUGACCUUCACCUCUAAAG